rnacentral:rRNA from 1 species
GUCGAAUAAUGUGUGAAAGUACACGAGCGGCGGACGGCAGAGUAACGCGUAGGAACGUACCCCAAAGUGAGGCAUAAGCCCGGGAAACCGGGUCUAAUACCGCAUAUUCUCUUCGGAGCAAAGCCUUGUGCGCUUUGGGAGCGGCCUGCGUAUGAUUAGCUUGUUGGUGAGGUAAUGGCUCACCAAGGCGACGAUCAUUAGCUGGUCUGAGAGGAUGAUCAGCCUGACUGGGACUGAGACACGGCCCAGACUCCUACGGGAGGCAGCAGUAGGGAAUUUUCCGCAAUGGGCGAAAGCCUGACGGAGCAACGCCGCGUGCAGGAGGAAGGCCUUCGGGUCGUAAACUGCUUUUAACGGGGACGAUUUUGACGGUACCCGUAGAAUAAGGAUUGGCUAAUUCCGUGCCAGCAGCCGCG